GAAAUCCCAACUGUCCUUGUAGACUUUUGCACCAGCUGGAGGAUUGGUGAUGGCCUCACUAUUGUAAAGGAAACAUAUACA